GUCACUGUUGGGUUUAUUACUUUAGAAUAUUAGCAAGUUGGGCUUAUAUAUGUAAUUGUACUAGGCUUAACCCUAAGCCUAUAAGUACUCCUUGUUUAUCUCAGAAAUAAAGUAAUUGCUUUUUUAUCAACAACAAGUAUUAUUGAGUUGGUG